AAGAUGAAGAAAAUUCUGUUAAGGGUUUCACAUUCCGAGUUGGCAAUCUUAAGCUGGUCGAAGAAUUCACAGUGACACCGGCAUCGUAUCGUAUGCUCUCAGCCCCAGAAGACUCAACCAAAGAAAGAACCCAACAAAUUCCCCCGGUCUUUCUAGCUUCAACUUCGAAACCGGUUCUUCAUUUCCCACUUCAUUUUUCCUUUCCCAAUUUACGCGUUCUAUUUCCCUUAAAUAAACCCUUCUCUCACGUUUGCCCCAAAUAUUCAGCAUCCUAUUUUUCUUCCUUCACCUCAUCACAUGCAAUGGUAUAUAAAGAUACCAAUUGA